AUUUAAAAAUGAUGGUGUCUGUUUCCACGUAAUCGUUUAUGUUGUAUUUUCUUGUAAACAGACGAACAAUUAUAUAAGGUUUUUGCUCUAAUUGAAAUUGUAAUCACUGAUUUAAUAAUUUUUAUAUUAUUUUGUGUUUCAUGGUAGCAAAUAGUUAUUCUCUAUAAAAAAAAAAAAAAACUUUCAAUGUCUUGCAUGAGAGUUUAACAUUUUUGAAUCAGAUACUCUAUUGCUGUAAUCGAGAAACAGUUCACUGCAUAAACAUUCUGUCCAAUUUUUAUCAUUCACACUUUGCCAUCUAUUACUUUUACGCCUUAUAUUUAGAUAUAUUUAGAAUAAUAAAUAAAAUGAU
rnacentral:misc_RNA from 1 species